UUUGGGUACACAUGAGGAGGGAGAGGUUCCCUAAACAAAGGAAGUCCAAACUUCAACCUAGAGAAGACAGACCUUUCCAAGUCCAAUCAUGUUUUCUUAUUAAUUAGUGAAUUUUUUAACACUAAUAGGGCUUACAAAUUAAGCUCUGUGUAGUUCUCAUGUGUGUUAUAAGCUUAUAGCCUUUAGGAAUCUGAGACACAACUUUGAAAUGAUAUAUAACUCUCAUGUAAAGGAUCCUCAUUCGAUGAUAUAUAACUAAAAAUGACUCUUCA
rnacentral:lncRNA from 1 species